CCUACGGGCGGUAGCAGUGGGGAAUAUUGCACAAUGGGGGAAACCCUGAUGCAGCGACGCCGCGUGAGGGAAGAAGUAUCUCGGUAUGUAAAGCUCUAUCAGCAGGGAAGAAAAUGACGGUACCUGACUAAGAAGCCCCGGCUAACUACGUGCCAGCAGCCGCGGUAAUACGUAGGGGGCAAGCGUUAUCCGGAUUUACUGGGUGUAAAGGGAGCGUAGACGGCGGUGCAAGUCCGGAGGGAAAGGCCAUGGCUUAACCAUGGUACUGCUCUGGAAACUGUGGGGCUUGAGGGCGGGAGGGGCAGGGGGAAUUCCUGGUGGAGCGGUGAAAUGCGUAGAUAUUAGGAGGAACAGCGGCGGCGAAGGCGGCCUGCUGGACCGUAACUGACGUGGAGGCUCGAAAGCGUGGGGAGCAAACAGGAUUAGAUACCCCUGUAGUC
rnacentral:rRNA from 1 species